GACGAACGCUGGCGGCGUGCCUAAUACAUGCCAGUAGAACGCUGAAGAGAGGAGCUUACUCUUCUUGGAUGAGUUGCGAACGGGUGAGUAACGCGUAGGUAACCUGCCUUGUAGCGGGGGAUAACUAUUGGAAACGAUAGCUAAUACCGCAUAACAAUGGAUGACACAUGUCAUUUAUUUGAAAGGGGCAAUUGCUCCACUACAAGAUGGACCUGCGUUAUAUUAGCUAGUAGGUGAGGUAAUGGCUCACCUAGGCGACGAUACAUAGCCGACCUGAGAGGGUGAUCGGCCACACUGGGACUGAGACACGGCCCAGACUCCUACGGGAGGCAGCAGUAGGGAAUCUUCGGCAAUGGGGGCAACCCUGACCGAGCAACGCCGCGUGAGUGAAGAAGGUUUUCGGAUCGUAAAGCUCUGUUGUAAGUCAAGAACGGGUGUGAGAGUGGAAAGUUCACACUGUGACGGUAGCUUACCAGAAAGGGACGGCUAACUACGUG
rnacentral:rRNA from 1 species